UCCAGCCUGCAGUGGGUACGGGCAGACUAGAGUGCGGUAGGGGAGAUUGGAAUUCCUGGUGUAGCGGUGGAAUGCGCAGAUAUCAGGAGGAACACCGAUGGCGAAGGCAGAUCUCUGGGCCGUAACUGACGCUGAGGAGCGAAAGCAUGGGGAGCGAACAGGAUUAGAUACCCUGGUAGUCCAUGCCGUAAACGUUGGGAACUAGAUGUAGGGACCAUUCCACGGUUUCUGUGUCGCAGCUAACGCAUUAAGUUCCCCGCCUGGGGAGUACGGCCGCAAGGCUAAAACUCAAAGGAAUUGACGGGGGCCCGCACAAGCGGCGGAGCAUGCGGAUUAAUUCGAUGCAACGCGAAGAACCUUACCAAGGCUUGACAUAUACCGGAAAAGUUCAGAAAUGUUCUCCCCGCAAGGUCGGUAUACAGGUGGUGCAUGGUUGUCGUCAGCUCGUGUCGUGAGAUGUUGGGUUAAGUCCCGCAACGAGCGCAACCCUCGUUCUAUGUUGCCAGCACGUAAUGGUGGGAACUCAUAGGAGACUGCCGGGGUCAACUCGGAGGAAGGUGGGGAUGACGUCAAAUCAUCAUGCCCCUUAUGUCUUGGGCUUCACGCAUGCUACAAUGGCCGAUACAAAGGGCUGCAAUACCGCAAGGUGGAGCGAAUCCCAAAAAGUCGGUCUCAGUUCGGAUUGAGGUCUGCAACUCGACCUCAUGAAGUCGGAGUCGCUAGUAAUCGCAGAUCAGCAACGCUGCGGUGAAUACGUUCCCGGGCCUUGUACACACCGCCCGUCAAGUCAUGAAAGUCGGUAACACCCGAAGCCAGUGGCCCAACCGCAAGGAGGGAGC
rnacentral:rRNA from 1 species